AGCCUUAUUAUUAUUAUGCAGAAGUACAGGUAUUACAAAGAAAAAAGAAGGUUAGAGACUCAAAUUCAACAAACAUUACGAACGUUUCGUAACAUAUACCGAAUUCCAGUCCAAAUAGAUUCGAUUUUAAGUUCAGACAUUAUCUAGCUGUAAAUUCAAUUGACACCGAUAAAAACCAGAAUAAUUAGUUUAUAAAAACUACUGUCACGACCCAAUCUCAGAUCAUGACCGGCGCACAGGUUAACACUAACUCAUCAUAUAUCCAGCCGGUGCAAGCCUAAUACACUAGCUAUAACCUAUACACUAUAACAAAUAUACUUAUUUAAAAUGUAGAGUUACUGAAAUUAUAGCUCGACAGGGAGGAUCCCUGGUCCUACGUAUCCCUAAACGAUUAGGGAAUCAGAGCCACGUAGUUCUCUAAGUGUUGGUUAACUAUCAACAAAGUAUACAUAAAAACUAUCUCAUCAACCUAGAAUCUACAUUACCACUUCACACAUAAUCCCCUGUUCUUCAUAUUUUAUUACAACCGGUGGAAGACCAAAUAAUCCUAUCAUUCUACUACUGAAAAGACUUGAGCAAUUCUUGUAAACAUUGAUCCUUACUUUUCAAAUAUAAGAAUUUUCCUACUACUUAUGAGAAAUGAGAAUCACAGUGAAAAUUUCUAUUUCUCAUACAUAAUUAAAAUAUUACUCUUAAAUCUAAUUCUACUUCUACUAAAAGAUUCNNNNNNNNNNNNNNNNNNNNNNNNNNNNNNNNNNNNNNNCACAAAACAAGAAAUUGAUGGAAAAAGAGAGAAUUUUGAACUUCUUCAAUUUUCCACAAACUUCCUUAAACCUUGCUCCUCGCUUUAUUCUGGUAAAAUUUCAGUCUCCUUCAAGUCCAAUAAAGUGAAUAUAAGUAAGAACUUGGCAUGAAAUAGGGUCGAGAUGCUAGAAAUGGAAGAGGAAAAAUUUUGGCCAUAAGAUUGUGUGUUGUUCUUUGUUCGGCGAUGCCAUUUACGUGUGUAUGUUUCUAGAGGGAAAGCUUUGUUUUAUCCUUAGCGUUUAUAGUUUAUUUAUUUAUUUAUAUAUAUUCUUCUCCAA
rnacentral:lncRNA from 1 species